rnacentral:rRNA from 1 species
AUUGAACGCUAGCGGGAUGCUUUACACAUGCAAGUCGAACGAGUGGCGGACGGGUGAGUAAUAUAUCGGAACGUGCCCCGUAGCGGGGGAUAACUACUCGAAAGAGUGGCUAAUACCGCAUACUGUUGGAGCGGCCGAUAUCGGAAUAGCUAGUUGGUGGGGUAAAGGUGCACAAAGGCAACGAUCCGUAGCUGGUUUGAGAGGACGGCCAGCCACACUGGGACUGAGACACGGCCCAGACUCCUACGGGAGGAAGCAGUGGGGAAUUUUGGACAAUGGGGGAAACCCUGAUCCAGCCAUCCCGCGUGUAUGAGAAGGCCCUAGGGUUGUAAAGUACUUUCAGUCGGGAGGCGUUACCGACAGAAGAAGCACCGGCUAACUCCGUGCCAGCAGCCGCGGUAAUUC